GGUAGGCUGGUUCCAAAAUGGUCGACUGUAUUGUCCAAACCUUCAUGUUUCGGGCGGUCUCGGUCGAACCAUAGGUUCACCCAUGGUUAACUGCAGUCGCCGCUCGAACUUGCCCCAUGCUGUAGGAAUUGCACAUCGCUUGCUCCUGGGGGAUUUCCCAGUCCCCAUUACGGACACGCCACGAAGUAAGCCCUUGUCAUUUUUCUGUUAAGUUUUGUGUUCUUGUUCCUCCGUGUUCAGAGGUUGCAGUGAAUUUUGUCGGUGUUGAUAAACCCUGAGAUUUACUACAGUGGACUGUAGUGACAUUGUUACGUUUUUUGGGGUACCACUUGAAACAGAAUCACCUUGUUUGAAUAUCGCGCAGGAAAGCGCGUAUAGUAACAUCCACUCUGAGAAUGGGAGAUAUCGUCACGAUGAGAGUGAUUUUUAUUCUGGUGUGUGUCGCCUUGAUGUUCGAGUGCACUGACGCCCAAAUGUUUGCCAUCGGUAAAAUCCGUUCCCUGUUCACGGAAGCUGUGCAGGUCACAAAGGCAAUCGUUGAAUUUUUAGGGAUUUUACCCCGUGAAGAUGCGAAUAGCAAGACAUCUAGUUACCUGGUCAACGACCUUGGUCCAGCCAUAAAGAACAGUUUGAAGAGUGUCGACGUGAGUGUACAACAUAUAUCGCAGAGGAUUGAUUCUUCGCUGAAAAUUUUGGAUGGAGUCCUUAAACUAGGGACAAUUUUACUCUGUCUUUUGAUCAUUUUCGUCAGUGUCAAGAUGAUAAUAUACUCUAGAAGACAUCCCCUUGGAUUCCUAAGUUUCCUUAUGGCAUUGAUUGCAUGGGUUUUUGUCGCUGUGUCAGUGUAUCUACUUAUUUUAAUCGUACUUUCGUUUAUGAGAAUUGAACCAAGCAUAAUUAAUGCAUUGCGGGCAUUUUUAGUCAUAUUCGCCACAUACAUGUUACUGCAAUAUUUUGGUCACUAGGUUGCUACGUGUUUUUGAGAGUGCUAACGACAAACGGGCACGUUACUGAGUUUCCUGCAGCUUUGACGAGUAGGCCUACAUGUAAUCUCACGGUUGGUCCUCCAAUAUGAUUCACUUCAAUGUCAAGUCCAUCUUUUGCGAUGGGCCUUGAAGCUGCCGUGCAUCUGGGAAAGGAGGGUAUAUACAUUUGCCUCCUUAUAUUUUGUAAAAAGCUUCCCUUUGUAGCGUUUGUUUGCUUGUUUGGGUGCUGGGAUAUUUGUGUUGUCUUUUCUUCUUUUUCACUUGUUUCCCCUCAAUUGACGUCGCACGAACGACAGUGGUUAUGCCGCCAUAGGGUUGCAGGCUAGUAAAUACCCCAACAUGAUGAAAAUUCCAUGCACAGAUCAAAUCACGAUUUGCAUGCUGUGAAAUUUUCUGCUUCUAAAGUAUUUCUUGGCACGUGGACUGGAAUCUACGAGCAGGACUGCCAGUUGGUAUUUCUGGAGGUAUCCCUCCAUUAUUUGAACUAGGCAUCAAUUGACUGGUUUGAGGGGUGAACGUCAUUGGAGACAAAAUAUCUUCCAAAAACAUCAAAGCCAUUGGUUUAAAUGGAAAGGAAGAAAGAUGAAGAAAGGAAAGAUGAAGAAAUGAGCUCCAAUUUAUAUCUUAAACACCUGAGAAAAUUGUAUUUUUUUCUGAUUUUUUGAAAUGGUUGUAUAUAUCACUGUUCUCUUGUUUACAGCUUACUUGGUGGUCUGCAAGCGUACAUGUAGAUAGAUUGAUAUCACACGUACAAAGUCACGUGGCGAGUUUAGGGAGCCGUCUCGCAGCUAGCCUUUCGCCAAGGCCAUCAUGGCUAUAACCGACACUGAGCGGUGAUACCGUAAAGCGACUGGAGCGGAGACCACACACGCGGGCGACUUUUUCACAUUGUGUGCGUGCCAUCUUGUGCGCGGAUCUGGUCUCUGUUCUUGUCGUUUCGAGCCUUCGAGGUGAAAGGCUAUCAUGAGACCCGCGUAUUUGGUUUUUACAUUAGGCCGUCAUGUUCUAUCAAUUUGGAAGAAUGAUUUCUGUAAUUAUACUUAAAUUAUCCCAAGACACACUCCCGUCGGAAUUUUAUCUUUUCGUUCUUCAAGUAGGAUUGUAGAAAAGUCACCUGUAUUUUAGAUUUUCUGAAGUGAGAGGUCCGUUUUUAGAACUACAUUUCUCUUUCAGGUCAAACACUUAGUUUUCAAUAUUUUACAAAUAGCAUUUUCGAAAGAGAUUUUUUUAAGAUGUGACGUAUUCUCUCGUAUACAACUGACCUAGUAUUGUCAAUCACCAUGAUAACUUAAAAACUAGGCUUUUGAUAGCAAAAUCUAUUGACCCGCACAGCAAUGUUAAUUGUUAUCACUGGUCAUUUGGAGCGGCGCCAACUAAGUGGCGGUAGACAUUGUAAUAACCAUUGUAUGGAGCCACUGAUCCGUGGGAGUCACUCCGAAUGGAUAAAACCUAGUACAGUAAUAUAUGCUAUUAAUGCUAAUGGGGCCGUUCGGAACGUCCAGUGAAACGUUGCUUCAUUAGUCUGUAGAAACACAAUGUUGAGCCCCCCCCCAUGUUACGGAGGCGCUAUACCGGUGAAGAAACCUUGCUUGCGUCGCUAUUCCCGUUUUCGAAUCCCGUUGCAUUCUGUUUAAUGUUCAGUUUGGGGCUUUUCACCCUCGAGCUAUUUCAUCGUCUUCAUCGCUUCUCGGCCGAAUAAAAGUGUUUGCAGUAGUAGAGUGUAAACCACGUAGCCACAUACACUGCGGAGGCUUGCGUUUUUUGCGUCUCGCCUGGACACGAAGUGAUACCCCGACAGAGCUUUCGUAUACGGACCUGCACGAGUGCUGGGGAAACACAACGUUGGAAUGUAGAAUUGUUUUAUUCCCAUGAUGCAUAAGGAAUCUCGGAACUUCUCUCCAAUUUGCAGACGAGACAAUAGCCACAUAUCGUGCUGGAUAUCUUCAUUUCAGCAAAUAUUUUAUCAGAAAAGGAAUGUAUACUACGAAGCGAGUUCUCAGAGCAAUGGAACUGCUUUUGCUAACAAUGUAAAUGAAGGUAUUCGGAUCAUGGUCAACUAUAAUAACUCACGGACGACCAAAAUAAUACAUAAAAUUUGAUCAAGCCAGUUUCAUAAUUAAGACUAAUUUGGUUGUAAUAUUUUUUAUCGUAUCUAAUAUAGAUGGAAUGAAGGUGAGAAUAAUUUUGUGCUUCCAUGGAUGUACAUGUAAGUUGCGGCGGGGGGGUAUUGAUAUUUACUUUGGGGUUGUUUUUUUCUGCCAUUACACUUACGUAUAUUCAUAACACUGUGUGCUAAGUGUUUGAGAGCUCGCGAAAAAGAUUCGCUACUUUAUUGGGUGGGACUCGAUCCCCCGACCUAUAGCUUACUAGUGCAGACGUCAAAAACCACUUGACCUUCGAAAUUGAAGCUUGCCAGAGUCGGAUGGCCAGUCCGAGUCAGAUGUAGCAGCGGGUACCACAAAUAAUUUCUGAAAGAUGUACCGAAAUACCUUGUAUGGGCAAAGCCGGGGUAAAAAUAAUGAUUUCAUUUUGUUGUUUCACGUGUAAGGUGGAUAAAUAUUUUUGUUACUAAGGUGGGAAUAACAGGUUUAUUUACUAUUUUGGAAUUGAAGGUUGGACUUUAUUAAAUAACAAAUGCACGGUUUCUUAGACCUGUUUCCAUG
rnacentral:lncRNA from 1 species